rnacentral:lncRNA from 1 species
UGAAAAAACAGGCCCACCACUAUAAACUACCAACUACCAGAUCGAUGGAUCCAUCCUACCCGCUACAAACAUCGCGAGGGCGCUAUUGUCCGUGGCCCGUCUCCUGUUGCCGUCGCGCCGUCGUUGCUGCAGUACGCCGCACGGCGUCAUCGCCUGUGACCAUCUCCACGAUCUCCUCCUCCGCACGAUCAGUAGCUCGAGUCCUCCCUCUCCUUCACGGUGCAGCAGGUGCACAUCUCCUUCCUCUCCAAUCUUCAUUAAAUUGAUCUAGGUUGUUUAUAUUUCUCAAAACUUGUCCAUUAGAAAUCAUGCCUAGGAAGAUGUCUCUUGCCC